UACACACACACAAACACCAUGUGCAACUGGCUUUCGGCGACGCCCAGUUGCAUAAUGCAAUUGACUUGCAACUGAGUAAUAAAUAUUCAAAGUGCACACACCGAUUUGAUAUUCAAAUUAAGAUUGUGGCUUUGUAUUCGAUAACAGAUUUUGUAUAAAAACUCAAGCGCUCUUUGAAAAAGUCAUCAAACAGUCUUUCAGUUCGCUAACGCAACAAACCCAAACGCAAAAAUGUUCAACCUUCACAAAGUGCUCAUCGUGUUCGCCGCCUUGGUGUGCAUCGCUGCUGCCUACCCAAGCAUCAUAGGACCAGCCAUCGUCCCAGGUCUUGCCUCAACUGUUGUUGUGGGACCAGUCGGACCUGUCGGACCAAUCGUAGGCUUGGGUCAUGGUCGCGUUAUUGGACACCCUUGGUAAAAUAACUACUUCUGAGCAAAAUUAAUUGGACUGCCAACAUUGUCAACAUUCCCAACUGGAAAACCUCUUUGCACUUCUGAUCAUCGUUAGUUUUUCUCACUCUACAUCACUUAUGGAACCACGAAUGUUAGGAAUUUCGCAACUUUAGUAUGUCUUUGUGUCUCGUUCGUUGUAUUGUUGCGUACUCCUUUAUUAACUAUCUAUAAUUUUUUGUAAAUAUGUAUUUUUUGUUUUAAAUCAGUUUGAAUAAAUAUGCAAUAAACCAA